rnacentral:rRNA from 1 species
GCCCAAUUCCCAUUAAAAAUCUGUUCUCAGUUCGGAUCGCAGUCUGCAACUCGACUGCGUGAAGCUGGAAUCGCUAGUAAUCGCGGAUCAGCAUGCCGCGGUGAAUACGUUCCCGGGCCUUGUACACACCGCCCGUCACACCACGAGAGUUUGCAACACCCGAAGUCGGUGAGGUAACCUUUAUGGAGCCAGCCGCCGAAGGUGGGGCAGAUGAUUGGG